rnacentral:rRNA from 1 species
GACGUAGGGCGCGAGCGUUGUCCGGAUUUAUUGGGCGUAAAGAGCUCGUAGGCGGCUCGUUGCGUCGGCUGUGAAAACCCGCAGCUCAACUGUGGGCUUGCAGCUGAUACGGGCGGGCUGGGAUUCGGUAGGGGAGACUGGAAUUCCUGGUGUAGCGGUGAAAUGCGCAGAUAUCAGGAGGAACACCGGUGGCGAAGGCGGUCUGCUGGGCAGUUGCUGACACUGAGGCGCGACAGCGUGGGGAGCAAACAGG